GCUAUGCUGGUCCAGUCGGCUUCGGAUAAUACAGGUUAAUGUAGUGGUCCCGGGGUUCGAAUCCCUAAUGUGGCA